GAAAACGGGUAUGUAAGAAACCUCGGGGAUCAGUUCGCGUUUUCAUCACCUAAUCGAGUAAUUAUGCACCACUUAAUGCCGAUUUAUAUUUACAUACACUCAUGUAUGUACGCAGUGGGUAGAAGAAGGCAUUAUUCCACUGAGAUUGGUGAAUUGAUAUUGAAGCUAAGGAAACAAUACAGCACUUACAGGGAAUCGAAGCAGUAGUGGCAUACAGCCCAUCCAUAAUGAUAGAAAAUUAUAAUGCGGUUAAUCGUGAGGAAAAUGUAAUACAAAAAACAGUACAUAAAGAGAUUAUACGAAAUGUAAAAAACUUUAAGCCUUAAGCUUUAAGCCCCCUAAAAAAUUAUAAAAAAUA